AGAAUCAACGCUGGCGGCGUGCCUAACACAUGCAAGUCGAACGCGAAAGCCCCGAAAGGGGCAAGUAGAGUGGCAAACGGGUGAGUAACGCGUGGGUGACCUGCCUUCGAGCGGGGGAUAACGUUCCGAAAGGGACGCUAAUACCGCAUGACAUCCUGCCUUUGGAAAGGUGGAGAUCAAAGCUGGGGAUCGCAAGACCUGGCGCUUGAAGAGGGGCCCGCGCCUGAUUAGCUAGUUGGUAGGGUAACGGCCUACCAAGGCGACGAUCAGUA
rnacentral:rRNA from 1 species